AAGCUAACCUUAAUAUGUGUUUAAGUGUGCAUGUGGUGUGCAUGCUUUUGUUUAAACCUUUACUUUAAUCUUUUUAUGUUAAACGUAUCUUCAUCUAUGGUUUAAACGUGCCUUCAGAGAUAAAGAACAAGCAAAGUCUAUACUCUAUUGCCAGCAUCAGUGUGAUAAUAAAGCGCCACUCAUUCAUUUCAUUUGGAAAUAUUCUACAACAAACAUGCCUAAAGGAUCCCAAACAAAAUCUGCUCUCCUCCAAUUUUAGUUUUGGGACUUAUUGAAUGAUGCCUUAUCGUUGGACAUCCGGGGGAGGUAGGACAUUUGUAUAAGAAACUGGACGUCAAUUGGACAAAUUAAGGACAUCCAUUGGACAUACGGCUGCCCAAAAUCCGUUGCCUUAUGGACGUCCAAUGGAUUUAUUAGUGCUGUCUGGGAGGUAGAUAGCCUUUGUCAAUAAUUAGAAAUUGUACAUACUUUCCUGACUGUGUUUCAAUUCUAAAUCAAAAUCAAUUC